AUGAUAAUAGUACUAUAUAUAACACUAGACAUCUAUAGAUGAUAUUUAUUCUUUGAUUAUUUGCUAAUAACAAAAAUUAAAGUAGAAAACCUAAUUAAGGAUAAUAACUAAUUAAAAAAAGACUAACCAAAGUAAUUAAGGAACUAAUCCACCUUCCUCAAUUAACACUGCAUGAUUAAUAGAAACUUGAAAUAUUGCCAAAGGAUUGGAGUUGCCCUGCUAAAGAUUAAUUAUGAAAAAUUAAUCUUUCUUCAAGAUUCAACUAAUUAUGAAUCGCGAAAAAGGCGUCCACCGGAGCCACCAACCACCGCCACAACUCACCGGGCUGAGCUGCCAUGACUGACCGUGGGAUCAUGGUGGAAAAUAUUGAACAACUUGACCUAGAGAAAAUUCUUAAAUUUUUCUUCUAUUUUUAAGUUAUAAGCUAUAGUUUGAUGAAUGAGUAG
rnacentral:lncRNA from 1 species